AAGCAGCGGAUGAUGACUCAGAUAUCAGGGUCCCUGCUAUUCAGAUGGGAUUCCAGACUCCUGGCUUCAGUAGAGCCCUGCCCUCAGAUCUUGAUGCCAUUUAAGGACUUCUUGACUUGUCAUCUCUGAGAGCUAAAAGUGUCCUUCUCUUCAAGUAAUGUAAGCUGAAAUGGGAUGAUUUUAUAAAAUCUUCAAAGGAAUUUCCACCAUAAAUUAUGUAUGGGCAACCUACAUGCCUGCUGCUGUGUGGGCCACUAAAAGCAUUUAUAGAUAUAUCCAAUGUAUGAAAAAUGCUCUUCAUUAAAUGUCUUGCAACACCCAGAAAAUAACUCUAGUACCAACAAAUAAAAGUUGAUUAAACUU